AGGGAUGUAGCUCAGUGGUAGAGCUCUUGCCUAGUAUUUGCAAGGUUCUGGGUUCUAAUCCCUAGCUCUG
rnacentral:tRNA from 1 species